rnacentral:rRNA from 1 species
GCACAACGCGAAGAACCUUACCACCUUUUGACAUGCCUGGACCGCUGCAGAGAUGCAGUUUUCCCUUCGGGGACCAGGACACAGGUGCUGCAUGGCUGUCGUCAGCUCGUGUCGUGAGAUGUUGGGUUAAGUCCCGCAACGAGCGCAACCCACGCCAUUAGUUGCCAUCAUUUAGUUGGGCACUCUAAUGGGACCGCCGGUGGUAAGCCGGAGGAAGGUGUGGAUGACGUCAAGUCCUCAUGGCCCUUACAGGGUGGGCUACACACGUGCUACAAUGGCGACUACAGAGGGCUGCAAGCCAGCGAUGGUGAGCCAAUCCCUAAAAGUCGUCUCAGUUCGGAUUGGAGUCUGCAACUCGACUCCAUGAAGUUGGAAUCGCUAGUAAUCGCGAAUCAGCUAUGUCGCGGUGAAUACGUUCCCGGGUCUUGUACACACCG